AUAUCUCUCCGUACGGGAAGGAUGAGAAGCUUCGACUAAGGUUCGAUUCGAGCGCAGCGAGAAAGCGUUGCCGCAGGCAACGA
rnacentral:sRNA from 1 species